GAGUUUGAUCCUGGCUCAGGAUGAACGCUGGCGGCGUGCCUAACACAUGCAAGUCGAACGAAGCAAUCGGGAUGAAGUUUUCGGAUGGAUUCCUGGUUGACUGAGUGGCGGACGGGUGAGUAACGCGUGGAUAACCUGCCUCACACUGGGGGAUAACAGUUAGAAACGGCUGCUAAUACCGCAUAAGCGCACAGUACCGCAUGGUACGGUGUGAAAAACCCAGGUGGUGUGAGAUGGAUCCGCGUCUGAUUAGCCAGUUGGCGGGUAACGGCCCACCAAAGCGACGAUCAGUAGCCGACCUGAGAGGGUGACCGGCCACAUUGGGACUGAGACACGGCCCAAACUCCUACGGGAGGCAGCCAGUGGGGAAUGUUGCACAAU
rnacentral:rRNA from 1 species